rnacentral:rRNA from 1 species
AUGGUCAAGUUACAAAGAGCACAAGGGGAAUGCCUUGGCACUGAGAGCCGAUGAAGGACGCGACAAGCUGCGAUAAGCUUCGGGGAGCUGCAAAUGAGCAUUGAUCCGGAGAUUUCCGAAUGGGGAAACCUACCACGGGACAUGCCGUGGUAACAUGCGUUGAAUCCAUAGGCGUAUGUAGGGAACCGCCUGAACUGAAACAUCUAAGUAGGGCGAGGAAAAGUAAUCAAAAGAGAUUCCGCUAGUAGUGGCGAGCGAACGCGGAAGAGGCCAAACCGGAGGUAGCAAUACCUCCGGGGUUGCGGACAGCGACAUUCGGACUGAAACUAGCCGAACUGCAUGGGAAGGCAGGCCGUAGAAGGUGAGAGACCUGUAGGCGAAAGUUAGAGGAAAGAUAGCUGAAUCCAGAGUACCGCCGGGCACGUGGAAUCCGGUGGGAAGCCGGGGGGACCACCCUCCAAGCCAAAAUACUACUCAGUGACCGAUAGUGAAGCAGUACCGUGAGGGAAAGGUGAAAAGAACCCCGGGAGGGGAGUGAAAAGAACCUGAAACCUUGUGUUUACAAGCACACAGAGAGCGUUAAAGCUCGAUGUGGUACUUUUUGUAGAACGGUCCGGCGAGUUUAUGUUAGCAGCAAGGUUAAGGGCAUCAUGUCUGGAGCCGAAGCGAAAGCGAGUGUGAAAAGCACGUAAAGUUGCUGAUAUAAGACCCGAAACCGGGUGACCUACCCAUGUCCAGGGUGAAGUAAGGGUAAAACCUUAUGGAGGCCCGAACGCACGUUCGUUGAAAAGACCGGCGAUGAGGUGUGGGUAGCGGAGAAAUUCCAAUCGAACCCGGAGAUAGCUGGUUCUCCCCGAAAUAGCUUUAGGGCUAGCGUUUGAAUAGAUUACCGGAGGUAAAGCACUGAAUGGUCUAGGGGCCGAUAAGGUUACCAAAACCUAUCAAACUCUGAAUGCCGGAUAAUCGUUUUCAGGCAGUCAGACUACGUGAGAUAAGUCUCGUGGUCAAAAGGGAAACAGCCCAGACCCACAGCUAAGGUCCCAAAUGCAUGUUAAGUGUAGAAGGAUGUGGGAUUGCGAAGACAACCAGGAUGUUGGCUUAGAAGCAGCCACUCAUUCAAAGAGUGCGUAACAGCUCACUGGUCGAGUGGUCCUGCGCCGAAAAUAUAACGGGGCUAAACAUGCAACCGAAGCUUGGGCUUGUACAGCAAUGUACAGGGGUAGGGGAGCGUCGUAUUGUAGGGCGAAGCAUGAGCGAGAGCACAUGUGGACGAGAUACGAGUGAGAAUGCCGGAAUAAGUAGCGAGAAUUAUGUGAGAAUCAUAAUGGCCGAAAAUCUGAGGUUUCUUGGGGAAGGUUCGUCCGCCCAAGGUAAGCCGGAAGCUAAGACGAGGCCGAAAGGCGUAGCCGAUGCACAUACGGUAGAUAUUCCGUAGCCACCGAAACUGUUAAGCCAGAGGACACUUUUGAAUAGACUGACCCAUCCGUUGGUUGAGAUGGGCGUAAGGGACCGAAAUUUAGUAGGGAAGCAGUCGAUGUCAAGAGGCGAGAAAAGUCUGGUGUAUUGGUAAGGUGUCCGUACCGCAAACCGACACAGGUAGAUGAGGAGAGAAUCCUAAGGCCAGCGGGAGAAGGGUUGUUAAGGAACUCGGCAAGUUGACCCUGUAACUUAGGGAGAAGGGGUACCACGCGAGUGGUCGCAGUGAAUAGGCCCAGGCGACUGUUUAGCAAAAACACAGGUCUCUGCUAAAUCGAAAGAUGAAGUAUAGGGGCUGACACCUGCCCGGUGCUGGAAGGUUACGAGGAGAUGUUAGGGGCAACCCGAAGCAUUGAAUUUAAGCCCCAGUAAACGGCGGCCGUAACUAUAACGGUCCUAAGGUAGCGAAAUUCCUUGUCAGGUAAGUUCUGACCCGCACGAAUGGUGUAACGAUCUGGGCACUGUCUCAACAACCCGCCCGGUGAAAUUGUAGUACUGGUGAAGAUGCCAGUUACCCGCGACUAGACGGAAAGACCCCAUGGAGCUUUACUGUAGCUUGAUACUGGAUUUCGGUAUUGCAUGUACAGAAUAGGUGGGAGGCUUGGAAACCAGGACGCCAGUCUUGGCGGAGCCACCUUUGGGAUACCACUCUUGUGAUACUGGAAUUCUAACCUGCACCCAUGAAUCUGGGUGGGGGACACUGUCAGGUGGGCAGUUUGACUGGGGCGGUCGCCUCCAAAAGAGUAACGGAGGCGUUCAAAGGUUCGCUCAGCACGGACGGGAAUCGUGCAUAGAGUGCAAACGCAGAAGCGAGCCUAACUGCGAGAGAGACAUUUCGAGCAGUAACGAAAGUUGGAGUUAGUGAUCCGGCGGUAUGUGAGUGGAAAUGCCGUCGCUCAACGGAUAAAAGCUACCCUGGGGAUAACAGGCUGAUCUCCCCCAAGAGUUCACAUCGACGGGGAGGUUUGGCACCUCGAUGUCGGCUCAUCGCAUCCUGGGGCUGUAUUCGGUCCCAAGGGUUUGGCUGUUCGCCAAUUAAAGCGGUACGCGAGCUGGGUUCAGAACGUCGCGAGACAGUUCGGUCCCUAUCUGUCGUGGGCGCAGGAUAUUUGAAGGGAGCUGUCCUUAGUACGAGAGGACCGGGAUGGACGCACCAAUGGUGCACCAGUUGUCACGCCAGUGGCACGGCUGGGUAGCUAAGUGCGGAAGGGAUAAACGCUGAAGGCAUCUAAGCGUGAAGCCCCCCCUGAGAUGAGAUAUCCCAUCCAGCAAUGGAGUAAGACCCCUUGAAGACUACAAGGUUGAUAGGCCGGAGGUGUAAGUGCAGUAAUGUAUUUAGCUGACCGGUACUAAUAGGUCGAGGACUUGACCUUAC